UUACAGGAUUCUAUCCUGACUGGCACAUUUUUCUUUAUUGUAACUAUUAGGAUGCAUGUACUAUUUUCUAGAGGCCUAGAAUAAUGCCUGACACUUCAUAGAGAUCUAUGAUAUAGUAUAAUACUUGUUCAAUGAAUGGAUGGAUGGGUGGAUGGAAGAAAAUGACCUAGGCCAUAUGGCAACAUGGAGUCUAAAAAAAGGAGGUAAAGGUAUGGCAAAUAGCUCCACCAUCAUUACCACUACCACUUUUGCCCACUCUUUCUGGAGCAGUUACCAUGCAAAGCACUGUAUUAGUAAGUACCUCGUAUGCAUUAUCUCCCUGUAUUUUCCCAAGAAUUGUGACCAUGAUGCACAGAGUAUUACUGAGGCCAUGUUACAGAGGGGGAAACAGACGCAUAAAGCCCAGUGAUCAUGGUCAGUUAAAGAUGGAGCCAGGAUUUAAAUCUUGACCGGAGAAUCUGAGUUCUUCAUUGCUAAGCCAUUCCAUGGCUCUGGAAAACUUGUAAGUCAAGGGAGAGUAAGCCAUAGCUGAGCCUCAAGUUAAAAUUGAAACACCUAUUAUCCUGCCCUAGAAAGAGACUUUAUAAAAUGACUUGCAGACCUGAACGAAUGCCUCAAGAAACACGAUGGUGUAGAGGGAAGCAAUGCUAUCUAAGCCAAUACACGGUUUUCCUCAGGGAAAGGCAGGUCCCUUCCAACUAUUGCAGAUAAUAUAACAUUUCAGUGUAUUUUUUACUUUUUCGCCAAUGUCAGUUAUUCAUAGAUGCUGUUAUUAUUGGGUGUUGUUUUUGUCUCAGAAAAAUACUGCCUAAAACUGCAACAGACCCUGAAGUCACAGUUUUCCCAUUUUAACAUCAUUCUACAAAGUCCCCGUCUCUUCUAAAAUAGGAGCAACACUCACUAGUUAAAGCUGGAACUUUCUGUGCAAGGUGCUGUGGAAAUGAUGAACUAGGCUCAAGUACAAACAAAGGGAAAAUUCAGAAUCUACCAGAUGAAAAUGUCUUUCGGGGGGUUUCUUUUUUCUUUAAGACCAAAUAAGUUUGCAGCUGCUUUUUAAAAAUGCAAUAUACAGUAUCUGCAAGUGCUUUAUAGCAUG
rnacentral:lncRNA from 1 species